AUUGAACGCUGGCGGCAGGCCUAACACAUGCAAGUCGAACGAGUGGCGGACGGGUGAGUAAUGUCUGGGAAACGGCCUGAUGGAGGGGGAUAACUACUGGAAACGGUAGCUACUACAACAUAGCCUCGGACGUGCCCAGAUGGGAUUAGCUAGUAGGGGGGGAAAAGGCUCACCUAGGCGACGAUCCCUAGCUGGGCUGAGAGGAUGACCAGCGACACUGGAACUGAUACACGGUCCAGACUCCGACGGGAGGCAGCAGUUGUGAAUAUUGCACAAUGGGCGCAAGCCUGAUGCAGCCAUGCCGCGUGUAUGAAGAAGGCCUUCGGGUUGUAAAGUACUUUCAGCGGUGAGGCGUUACCCGCAGAAGAAGCACCGGCUAACUCCGUGCCAGCAGCCGCGGUAAUUC
rnacentral:rRNA from 1 species